GACGGAGGAUGCAAGUGUUAUCCGGAAUCACUGGGCGUAAAGCGUCUGUAGGUGGUUUAAUAAGUCAACUGUUAAAUCUUGAGGCUCAACCUCAAAAUCGCAGUCGAAACUAUUAGGCUAGAGUAUAGUAGGGGUAAAGGGAAUUUCCAGUGGAGCGGUGAAAUGCGUAGAGAUUGGAAAGAACACCGAUGGCGAAGGCACUUUACUGGGCUAUUACUAACACUCAGAGACGAAAGCUAGGGUAGCAAAUGGGAUUAAGAUACCCC
rnacentral:rRNA from 1 species